rnacentral:rRNA from 1 species
UGGGGAAUCUUGGACAAUGGGGGCAACCCUGAUCCAGCCAUGCCGCGUGAGUGAUGAAGGCCUUAGGGUCGUAAAGCUCUUUCGCCUGUGAAGAUAAUGACGGUAGCAGGUAAAGAAACCCCGGCUAACUCCGUGCCAGCAGCCGCGGUAAUACGGAGGGUGCGAGCGUUAAUCGGAAUUACUGGGCGUAAAGCGCGCGUAGGCGGUUGCUUAAAGUCGGAUGUGAAAGCCCCCGGGGCUCAACCUGGGAACUGCAUUCGAUACUGGGCGACUAGAGUACGAGAGAGGGGAGGUAGAAUUCCACGUGUAGCGGUGAAAUGCGUAGAUAUGUGGAGGAAUACCGGUGGCGAAGGCGGCUUCCUGGCUCGAUACUGACGCUGAGGUGCGAAAGUGUGGGGAGCAAACAGGAUUAGAUACCCUGGUAGUCCACGCCGUAAAACGAUGAGCACUCGGUGCCGCGGGUAUCGACCCCUGCGGUGCCUGAGCUAACGCAUUAAGUGCUCCGCCUGGGAGUACGGUCGCAAGGCUG